AUUGAACGCUGGCGGCAGGCCUAACACAUGCAAGUCGAGCGGCAGCGGGAAGUAGCUUGCUACUUUGCCGGCGAGCGGCGGACGGGUGAGUAAUGUCUGGGAAACUGCCUGAUGGAGGGGGAUAACUACUGGAAACGGUAGCUAAUACCGCAUAACGUCGCAAGACCAAAGAGGGGGACCUUCGGGCCUCUUGCCAUCAGAUGUGCCCAGAUGGGAUUAGCUAGUAGGUGGGGUAAUGGCUCACCUAGGCGACGAGCCCUAGCUGGUCUGAGGGCAUGACCAGCCAACAUGGAACUGAGACACGGGCCAGACUCCUACGGUAGGCCGAAGUGGGGAGUAUUGCUCAAUGGGCGCAAGCCUGAGGCAGCCAUGCCGCGUGUAUGAAGAAGGCCUUCGGGUUGUAAAGUACUUUCAGCGGGGAGGAAGGUGUGGAGGUUAAUAACCUCAGCAAUUGACGUUACCCGCAGAAGAAGCACCGGCUAACUCCGUGCCAGCAGCCGCGGUAA
rnacentral:rRNA from 1 species